GGUUCUGUGUUCUAGUGGUUAUGAACCUCGGUUCUGAUGACUCCGAGUAGCCCCGGUUCGAUUCCGGGCAGGACCU